AACGUAGGACGCAAGCGUUAUCCGGAAUUACUGGGCGUAAAGCGCGUGUAGGUGGUUAGAUAAGUCACUGUUGAAAGCGCCCGGCUAAACUGGGCGAGGCGCGGUGAGACUGUCUGGCUAGAGUAUGGGAGAGGGAUGCAGAAUUCCGGGUGUAGUGGUGAAAUGCGUAGAGAUCCGGAGGAAUACCAGAGGCGAAGGCGGCAUCCUGGCCUAAAACUGACACUGAGACGCGAAAGCAUGGGGAGCGAACGGG
rnacentral:rRNA from 1 species